UACGUAGGUGGCGAGCGUUGUCCGGAAUUACUGGGUGUAAAGCGCGUGUAGGCGGGAGGCCAAGUCUGUGGUGAAAUCGCUCGGCUUAACUGGGCGGGGUCCAUGGAAACUGGUCACCUGGAGGUCGGUAGAGGCAAGUGGAAUUCCCGGUGUAGUGGUGAAAUGCGUAGAGAUCGGGAGGAACACCAGUGGCGAAGGCGGCUUGCUGGGCCGGACCUGACGCUGAGACGCGAAGGCAUGGGGAGCGAACAGG
rnacentral:rRNA from 1 species